rnacentral:sRNA from 12 species
AUCUGAAUAUCAUCAUAAGUCAAUCCCUAUGCACAAGCUUCUGGCAGAGGUUUAGGGGACGUGGCGUGAUUCAGAGCUGUCAGCAAUUCCCGAUAGGGGUUGUAUGGGCAACAAUGCUUCUGGGGCUGUGGCGACAUGGCUUCGGGGAGUGCGUAACACACUUGGCACAACUGAAGGGCUGCGGGCGGGAUUGGCUUGGGAUGAACGGAAAAGGCAGGACAUUUGGGGCUGGAGUCCUACAAUAGACGCUCCCUGUGGGAGAAUAACCCUUGAAUAUCAUAUCCGUUGCAGGGGUAUGGGAUAGAGGGAAUUGCAGAAAGGACUCCUGUGCGGUUGAGACUUGCGAAAGCGGGUCUAUAAAGCCUGAUGUCCGUAUGGUGGCACAAAGCCGUGCAAAUUUCUUAAUUGGAUUAUAAUUAUAUUCUGAAUGCUGUGUCGCCAUUCUGGGUGAAGUUCCCAGACACGCUUGGUCGAGAGAUUCUGCAAGAAGUAUUGGGGUAGCUCCCCUGUGCUCAGACUUGCGGACGUGGUGGCUGAAAAUGAUUCCGAUUCCAAGCUGGUCUUACGGCGAAGGUCGUGGCUUGUGGUGAUGUUCAG